GAGGCUAGCCUGAACUACAUAGCGAGACCCUGUCUCAAAAAGGGGUGAGGGGGACAAGAAAAGGAUUCCUCAUCUCUGCUCUCCAUCCGAGAAGGAAGGUCAUGAGCACCUAGCAAUAAAGGCGGCCACCUACUGUGCAAGCCAGGAAGACAGCCCUCAAGGUCAAACCCAGAACACCUUGAUGCUGAAUACCCCAGUUUCCAGAACUUGAGAAAUAAAUGUCCUUUAAGCCUGCCAGUGUACCAUCUUUUGUAGGGCAGCUUGAGCAGACGAAUGUGUCCCUUCUACCUGGAUGUGCCCAAGGCGCUGUAUACUGCCAGGCGCUGCUGUAGGUGUUGGGGAAGUGGCAGAGGAUGGGAUGGCUCCCUGACCUCACGGCCCUCGUAAUCGGGUGAGCAAGGGGAGCGGGGCGGGGGUUGUGGAGCCAAGCAGCCCGGCUAAGGCCAGGCACCGGGGGCGCACUGCGGGGUUGCGGGCCGCGGGCGGCAGGGGGCGCUCUCUCCGCCGCGCUGCCUCUCACGUGACCCCUCCGUGCGGCGGGGAGACCCGGUUUCCGGGGAGAUGCCGGCCCGUGCGCUUGGGCUUCUGCGCUAAAUAAACCGCUGCUCUCGAUGAAUUACCCAAGGACCUGAAUCUCAUCGGAAUCCCACUCUCAUGUCGUCAUCUAAACCUCGUUAUCUGCUAAAGGGCCAUGGCCAAAGGCCAUCAUACUGAACACGGAGGCUGGUGCUUGAACGUCAUGAGCAAGUCCUGAGUUCCAUCCCCAGUGCCAAGACACAGCCCCUGCACCUCGGGACGGGAAGGGGAGCAGAGAACUGCUCGGGGCUGCCGCAACCGUCCAGGUGGAGUGGAGGAGACAGCUUGCUGAGAGAGGUCCAAUAGAGCCUGGGGACCUGGCAGGCAUCUGCAGCCACUGUAGUGCCCAGCCCCCCGUGGGACCGGAAGCAGCAGCAGAGCCUGCUCUUGAGGAGAGGUGGACACAGCUGUGGCAUGGGGAGAGUUUCAGGUCCGCCCCAACAUUGCUGUGGAUCAAACCUGGAGUUUUGCACUUGGAACAUGAGUGCUCUACCCCUGAACUAUAUCCCUGGCUCCUGUCAUUUUAUUUUAAACAAUCUAAGAUGGAGGAAUAAAGCAGAGAGUUUAUCUAGAGUAAGCUUUAAAAUAAAUAUUUAGAUAUACAAGUAAAAAAAUAAAAUAUAUACACUUCUUGCUAAUAUUUAAUGAUUAGUAAUUAUAAUUCUUUUAAUGGUAGUAAAGUUUUAUUA